rnacentral:rRNA from 1 species
GAUGAACGCUAGCGGCAGGCUUAACACAUGCAAGUCGAGGGGCAGCGUGAGGGUUAGCAAUAACCCUUGACGGCGACCGGCGCAAGGGUGCGUAACGCGUGAGCAACUUGCCCUUAUCAGGGGGAUAACCGGUGGAAACGCCGACUAAUACCCCAUGGCAUUGAGUUGAGGCAUCUCUACUCAAUUAAAGAAUUUCGGAUAAGGAUAGGCUCGCGUGACAUUAGCUAGACGGCGGGGUAACGGCCCACCGUGGCGACGAUGUCUAGGGGUUCUGAGAGGAAGGUCCCCCACACUGGAACUGAGACACGGCCCAAACUCCUACGGGAGGCAGCAGUGGGGAAUAUUGCACAAUGGGGGAAACCCUGAUGCAGCGACGCCGCGUGAGUGAUGAAGUAUUUCGGUAUGUAAAACUCUAUCAGCAGGGAAGAUAAUGACGGUACCUGACUAAGAAGCUCCGGCUAAAUACGUG